rnacentral:rRNA from 1 species
UACGAAGGGGGCUAGCGUUGCUCGGAAUGACUGGGCGUAAAGGGCGCGUAGGCGGUUUGGUUAGUUAGGCGUGAAAUUCCUGGGCUCAACCUGGGGGCUGCGCUUAAUACAGCCAGACUAGAGUGUGAAAGAGGGUCGUGGAAUUCCCAGUGUAGAGGUGAAAUUCGUAGAUAUUGGGAAGAACACCGGUGGCGAAGGCGGCGACCUGGUUCAUUACUGACGCUGAGGCGCGAAAGCGUGGGGAGCAAACAGG